UCCCCUGUAAUAAUGUUGCUCUGCCAGCCCAAUACACGAGAGGGGGACUAUAUAAGAAUCAAUGAAGCUAUCACUAUCACGAACUACCCCACGAUCUGGCAUAUUGGGUACAAUCGCAGAUAAAUACGGUAUAAGCACCACGCCUACACAAUAUCUAUCAUUUACCCAUGGAUCCGAUGGAUAAACGCUAUACAAUCCUAAACAUGUAUAUAGGUCCAAUCUAACUAAGCCAAGUACAUAACUAUGAUAAACUAAGAACAAUAUAAUCUUGAAUAUAAGCAAGU
rnacentral:lncRNA from 1 species